rnacentral:lncRNA from 1 species
ACAGGGGUAAUGAACAUAUCAUUUGGAAAUAUGAAGGUAAAAUUAAAUGUGUUCAAUGCGGCCGACCAACCCGCAAGAGAAAUUGAGUGUUUUAUGAUAGACAAAAUAGAUGACCUCAUAGAAGGAGAUGCAAAAACUAUCUCACUAUGUCUGGCUGAAGACAAUAAACUUAGCGCUUGUUGGGAGGCAACCCAAUUCUCUUAGAUUAUUUCUUAACAUUGAGGACAAUGUUAGGUUUAGGUUUGGGGGUAUUCAUCUUGAUUUUCAU